AACGUAGGUGGCGAGCGUUAUCCGGAUUUACUGGGCGUAAAACGUGUGCAGGCGGGGCUACAAGUGGUGUAUGAAAUCGCUCGGCUAAACCGGGCGGGGUUAUGCCAGACUGUAGCUCUUGAGUGCGAGAGAGGGGCAUGGAAUUCCGGGUGUAGUGGUGAAAUGCGUAGAGAUCCGGAGGAACCCCAGAGGCGAAGGCGGUGCCCUGGCUCGCAACUGACGCUCAGACACGACAGCAUGGGGAGCGAACGGG
rnacentral:rRNA from 1 species